AUUAAAAGUCCACCAACCAAACUAGGUCAAAACUAAAUCCAAAAUAAAUUGAAAAUGUGAAAUAAAAUUCCAAGAAAAGCUCAGGUUGACCAUGAGACAGUGGUCAACCUUCAUCCCAAAAAUAAAAUGCUAACAAUAAUUUUAAGUCAUAAAAAUAAAAUCAAUAAAAAAGUGUGUUAAAAUAGACCAUUUAGAAUAAAUAAUUAAAAUAAAAU
rnacentral:lncRNA from 1 species